UAGGCAUGAGAUCAUCUUGGCUGAGCUUAAGUGCAUCCCUCAAAGACAUUGCCUCUCUUUCGCUCUCACCUGUCUUCCAUACCUUGAACUCUAAGUGAGAAGAUGAGGAAUCGAAUUCAAAUUCACUACAGCGUUUGAGUGCAGACAGUGAAACAAGGCUUCUUGUUCCACUUCCACAUAUACCCGAACAAUGCCAAAUAUUAAUAUCAGGACUCUCCACUUCCUUUCUUCCUGCUGAAGUGACUUCAAUGUUCACAUCUUCUUCAUCACUGUCACUUAACACAAUAAUAUCAUUGAUAGUCGCCUUAACAGGAAUAGAAACCGAAACGCUUUGCCAUUCCUUUACUG
rnacentral:lncRNA from 1 species